AUGAAGAUCUUUUUCUUUGCCUUUAUUAUGGCUCUCAUUGUUGCCAUGAUUAAAGCUGAUUCAUCUGAAGAGGAACGUUACCGGUUUAGAUAUAACCCUACAAGUUAUUAUCCAAACCAGCAAGGUGGAUAUAUUCCUAAUUAUCCAUAUCCAUAUCGAUUUCCAAAUCCAUAUCCAUAUCCAGUCGCGUUUUAGCUGCUCGGUAAUCACAGGACAUGAACACAAAGGCUUGGUGAGAAGAUGUAUUUGCUUUGUAUUCAGGAAGGUUCUUCCUGCCCUCCUGCUGUGUCCACAUUCUGACUUUCAAAGAAGGAAAAGAAAAAAGAAGAUGCAAUCAAGUAGUGUUACAUGCAAAACACACUCCUGAGAUCAUAUCAAUAUUUCUAAAUAGUAGUAGUGAUAUUCUCUGAACUGCAUUCUACCUACUUCUCUAUGUUAAAGUAUUUCAAAAAUUUAAAAAAAAAUUUACCAUAGCAAUAAAUUGAUCUCUCAAGCAAAU